UGCAUCGGCCGGGAAUCGAACCCGGGUCACCCGCGUGGCAGGCGAGCAUUCUACCACUGAACCACCGAUGG
rnacentral:tRNA from 1 species